rnacentral:rRNA from 1 species
GACGAGGGGUCCAAGCGUUGUUCGGAAUUAUUGGGCGUAAAGCGGGUGUAGGUGGCUCUAUAAGUCAGAAGUGAAAGCCCCGGGCUUAACCCGGGAAGUGCUUUUGAUACUGCAGAGCUUGAAUGUGGGAGAGGAUAGUGGAAUUCCAGGUGUAGUGGUGAAAUACGUAGAUAUCGGGAGGAACACCAGUGGCGAAGGCGACUACCUGGCCUGUUCUUGACGCUGAGGCGCGAAAGCUAGGGGAGCAAACGGG